rnacentral:rRNA from 1 species
UAAUGAAUGACUCUCGGCAACGGAUAUCUCGGCUCUUGCAUCGAUGAANAACGYAGCGAAUGCGAUACUUGGUGUGAAUGCAGANUCCCGUGAACCAUCGAGUCUUUGAACGCAAGUNGCGCCUGAAGCCAUUAGGUUGAGGGCACGUCUGCCUGGGUGUCACA